rnacentral:rRNA from 1 species
AGCGAACGCUGGCGGCAGGCUUAACACAUGCAAGUCGAACGGACACUUCGGUGUCAGUGGCGGACGGGUGAGUAACACGUGGGAACGUGCCCUUAGGUUCGGAACAACACAGGGAAACUUGUGCUAAUACCGGAUGUGCCCUUUGGGGGAAAGAUUUAUCGCCUUUGGAGCGGCCCGCGUCUGAUUAGCUAGUUGGUGAGGUAAAGGCUCACCAAGGCUACGAUCAGUAGCUGGUCUGAGAGGAUGGCCAGCCACACUGGGACUGAGACACGGCCCAGACUCCUACGGGAGGCAGCAGUGGGGAAUCUUGCGCAAUGGGCGAAAGCCUGACGCAGCCAUGCCGCGUGGAUGAUGAAGGUCUUAGGAUUGUAAAAUCCUUUCAGCGGGGACGAUAAUGACGGUACCCGCAGAAGAAGCCCCGGCUAACUUCGUGCCAGCCGCCGCCGUAAAAC